GGAUGUGAAGGCAAUCUGGUUGCAACAUCUGUCACCCCAUUUGAUUACCAGGGUUGAUGUGGCUGAUCUAGUUGCUAGGUGGUGCCGUGCUUCCUCCCUCGCUGCUCCAUGUAUGACCCUCCUGAAGCCACAUGUUUUGCUGAAGAGGUAGAGAAGGACCAUUCUUUAGUCAAGAGUAUCUGAGUAGCAAUGCUCCCUUGCUAGGACCUCUAAAUAAGUUCUCAGGGUCCAUUUAUAGGAGAACAUACAGUAGACAAACUUUCAAGACUCCAGACAUGAGCAAAAGAGGCACUACCUGUGGCUGUAUUCCCUUUUU
ensembl:misc_RNA 7SK 7SK RNA